UUUACAGUCCCAACAACAGUGUAAAAGUGUUCCUAUUUCCCCAUAUCCUCUCCAGCACCUGUUGUUUCCUGACUUUUUAAUGAUCACCAUUCUAACUGGUGUGAGAUGGUAUCUCAUUGUGGUUUUGAUUUGCAUUUCUCUGAUGGCCAGUGAUGAUGAGCAUUUUUUCAUAUGUCUGUUGGCUGCAUAAAUGUCUUCUUUUGAGAAGUGUAUAUCUUGAGAAGUGUGUAUAUAUAUACACACACAUCUUCUUCAUCCAUUUAUCCAUUGAUGGACACUUAGGUUGAUUUUGUAUCUUGGCUUUUGUGAAUAGCACUGCAAUAAACAUGAGAGGACAAAUAUCUCUUACAUAUACUGAUAUUUUUUCUUUUGGACCUAUACCCAGCAGUGGAAUUGCUGGAUCAUAUGGUAGGUCUAUUUUUAUCUUUUUGAGCAAUUUCCAUGCUGUAUGUCCUUCAUAGUGGCUGUACUAAUUUACGUUUCCACCAACAAUGUAUGAGGGUUUCCCUUUCUCUGCAUCCUUACCAGCAUCCAUUAUUGCCUGUUUUUUAUUUUUUGGUAAAAGCCAUUUUAAUUGGAGAUAUAUCAUUGUAGUUUUGAUUUGCAUUUCUCUAAUGUAGUGAUGUUGAGCAUUUUUUCAUAUACCUGUUGGCCAUUUGUAUGUUUUCUUUUUAGAAAUGUUUGCUGAGAUCAUUUGCCCAUUAAAAAUUUUUAUAGUUAUAUUUUAUUUUUUAAAAAUUCAACUUUUGUUUGACACAUGGGGGUAUACAUGCAGGUUUGUUACAUGGGUAUAUUGCAUUUGCCCACUAUCAAAUGGGAUUUUUUGUUUUUUUUCUCUUAUUGUUUGAGCUCCUUAUAUAUUCUGGCUAUUAAUAUCUUGUCAGAUGGGUAGUUUGCAAAUAUUUUCUCCUCUUCUGUGUAUUGUCUUUUCACUUUGUUGAUUGUUUCCUUUGUUGUGCAGAAGCUUUUUAAGCUUGAUGUGAUACCGUUUAUGCAUUUUUGCUUUAGUUGCCUGUGCUUUUGAUGUCUUACUUAUCUUUGCCCAAAUCAAUGUACUGGAGUGUUUCCCCAGUGUUUACUUCCAGCAGUUUAAUAGCUACAGAUCUAACAUUUAAGUCUUUAAUCCAUUUUGAUUUGAUUUUUGAAAAUGGUGAGAGAUAAGCACUUAGUUUCAUUCCCUUAAAUAUGGAUAUCUAGUUGUCCCAGGAUCAUUUACUGAAGGGGCUGUUCUUUCCCUAACAUAUGUUCUUGUCAUCUUUAUAAAAAAUAAGUUGACUGUAACUGUGUGGAUUUAUUUCUGGAUUCUCUAUUCUGUUCCAUUGGUCUCUGUCUGUUUUUAAGCCAGUACCAUGUUGUUUUGGUUAUGUAACUUUGCAGUAUAAUGCCUCCAGCUUUGUUCACUUUGCUCUGGAUUGCCGUAGCUAUUCAGGAUCGUGUGCGGUUCAAGAUAAAUUUUAGGAUUUUUUUUUUUUUUCUAUUUCUGUCAAGAAUGUCAUCGGUAUUUUGAGAGGAGUUGCACUGUAUCUGCAGAUUGCUUGGGGGUGGUAUAGACAUUUUAACAAUAUUGAUUCUUCCAAUACAUGAACAUGGACAAUCUUUCCAUUUCUUUGUGUCUUCUUCAAUUUCUUGCAUCAUUGUUUUAUAAUAAGUUUUCAUUGUAGAGAUCUUUCACUGCUUUGGUUAACUUGAUUAAUUUCUAGGUAUUUUAUUUAUUUGUAGCUAUUCUGCAGGGGAUUAAUUUCUUGGUUUCUUUUUCAGAUUGUUUGCUGUCAGUAUAUAGAAAUGUGACUGAUUGUAUGUUGAUUUUGUAUCCUACAACUUCACUGAAUUUAUCAAUUCUAAUAGUUUUUUUCUAAAUAUAAGAUUAUAUUGUCUACUAACAAGAGUAGUUUGACUCCUUCCUUUCCCUUUUGGAUGCCUUUUAUUUAUUUCUGUUGUCUAAUUGCUCUGGCAAGGAUUUCCAGUACUAUAUUAACAGUGGUGAAAGUGGGCAUCCUUGUCUUGUUUCCAGAAUUUAAAGGAAAGUAUUUCAUUUUUCCCCCAUUCAGUAUGAUACUAGCUGUGGGUUUGUUGUUGUUUAUUAUGUUGAGGUAUGUUCCUUCUAUACCCAGUUUGUUGAGAGCUGUUAUCACAAAGAGAUGCUGAAUUUUAUCAAACACUUUUUCAGUUAGUAUUGAAAUGAUCAUAUGGUUUUUGUUCUUCAUUUUGUUGAUGUGUCACAGUUAUUGACUGCAUAUAUUUAAACAUCCUUGCAUACCUGGGAUGAAUCCCACUUGAUCAUGAUGAAUUAUCUUUUUAAUGUGCCUUUGAAUUCAAUUCACUAGUAUUGUGUUGAAGAUUUUUAUAUCUACUUCAUCAGAUAUAUCGGCCUGUAGUUCUCAUUUUUUGUAGUGUCUUUCUUUGGUUUUGGUAUCAGGGUAAUACUGGCAAGUUUGGAAGUAUUUUCUCCUCCUCAAGUUUUUGGAACAGUCUGAGUAGAACUCUUAUUAGCUCUUCUUUCAGCGUUUGGCAGAAUUCAGUAGCGAAAACACCAGGUCCUGGUCUACUUUGAUAAGAGGCUUUUUACUACCGCUUCCAUCUUGUUAAUGUUGUUCUAUUCAAGUUUUGGAUUUCUUCAUGGUUCAAUCUUGGUAUGUUUUUAUGUGUCUCGGAAUUCAUCCAUUUCUUCUAAGUUUUCCAAUUUACUGCAUAUAGUUGCUCAUAAUAGUCUCUAAAAUAUUUUGAAUUUCUGUGUUAUCAGAUGUAAUGACUCCUUUUUCAUCUCUGAUUUUAUUCAUAUGGAUAUUCUCUCUUUUACAGUCCGGCUAAAGGUUUGUUGAUUUUGCUUAUCUUUUAAAAAAAAAAAACAACUUUUUCUUUCAUCCAUCUUUUGUACUAUUUUUAGUAUCAAUUCAUUAAUUUCUGCCCCAAUCUUUAUCAUUUCUUUUCUUCUAAUAAUUUUGGGUUUGGUUUCCUCUUGCUUUUCUAGUUAUUAUUUAUUUUAAAAAUUUGUAUAAACGUAAGGGGUGCGAGUGCAGUUUUGUUACAUGGAUUUAUUGCAGAGUGGUAAAGUCUGGGCUUUUCUUAUAUUCAUCACCUGAAUUAUGUACACUGCAUACAUUGCAGCCAUUAAGUAAUUUCUCACCAUCUACUCCCUGCCCAUCCCCCACCCUUCCAAGUCUCUAUUAUUUCACACUCUAUAUCCCUAUGUACACAUUAUUUAGCUCCCACUUAUAAAUGAGAACAUGUGGUAUCUGUUCUGAGUUGUUUGCUUAAGAUAAUGGCCUCAGUUCCAUCCAUGUUGCUGCAAAAGACAUGGUUUCAUUCUUUUUUAAAAUGUCUGAACAAUAUUCCAUUGUGUAUAUAUACACCACAUUUUCUUUAUCCAAUCAUCUGUUGAUGGACCCUUAGGUUGAUUCUACAUCUUGGCUAUUGUGACUAGUGCUGCAAUAUACAUACAAAUCAGGUAUCUUUUUUAUACAAUUUCUUUUCCUUUAGAUAGAUACCCAGUAGUGUGACUGCUGGAACUAAUUCUUCAAGACACACUGUUAGGUUGUUUAUUUGAAGUGUCUGUACUUUUUGGAUGCAGGGAUUUAUUGCUAUAAUCUUCCCUCCUAGUACUACUUUUGCCGUAUCCUACAGGUUUUGGUAUGUUGUGUUUCCAUUUUCAUUUGCUUCAGGAAAAUUUAAAAUUUUCUCUUAAUUUCUUCAUUGACCCAAGGGCCAUUCAGAAACAUAAUGUUUAAUUUCCAUUUAUUUGUAUAGUUUCCAAAGUUCCUCUUGUUAUUGAUUUCUGGUUUUAUUUCAUUAUGGUCAGAAAAUAUACUUGAUUGAAUUUUAAUCUUUUGAAUUUUGUGAGACUUGUUUUGUGGCUUAACAUUUGGUUUAUCCUUGAGAAUGUUCCAUUUGUUGAGGAAAAGAAUGUAUAUUCUACAGCUGUUGGAUGAAAUGUUCUACAGAUGUCUAUUAGGUGAAAGUUAUUUUUAAUAAACAAUGGAUUAAUAAACAUAUAGGUUUACUUGUAAUAUUAUAUAUAUAUAUAUAUAUAUAUAUAUAUAUAUAUAUAUAUAUAUAUAUAUAUAUAUAUAUAUAUAUGUUUCAGAGACAAGGUCUUGCUCUGUUGCCCAGGCUGGAGUGCAAUGGCAUAAUCGUGGCUCACUGAAGUCCUGACCUCCUGGGCUUCCGUCCUCCUGCCUCAGCCUUGUGAGCAGCUGGGACUACAGGCUCACAACACACAUGGCUAAUUUUAUUUUUAUAUUCUUUUGUAGAGAUGAGGUCUUGCUAUGUUGCCCAGGCUGGUCUUAAACUCCCAGCCUCAAGCUGUCCUCCCGCCUUGGCCUCCCAAAGUGCUGAGUUACAGGCAUGACCCAUUACAACUGGCCAAUUUUUUUUGUUUUAAUUUCAAACACAGUAAAUAUGGAUAUAAGUAAACAAAAUCUCUUUGGGGUCCUCCAAAAAAAGUGUGAAGUUUCUGAGACCAAAAAGUUUGAAAAUUGCUACUGUAGGCCAAGAUCCCUGGCUCUAUUAGUUUGAGGAAUCUUGCCAGGAUACCUGCUGCCCAGUUCCUCCCUGUCAGCUUCUCUUAGGGCUUUGGUUAUGUAUAAAUAUUAGAGCUAGGGUAAGAAGCAUAAAUCUAUGCUGCUCAUAAAGUUAAGAAAAAUAGGCCCCAUUUUAUUUUUUCUAGCUAAACAUUUUCAACCAAUUUAUUUAAGCUUAAUGUUAAAUAAUUUAUAUAAAUAGAACAGUAGUAUACUAUACCUGUGGCAUCCUAAGAAAGGAGAAAUCAGGUUGUGGCAUUCCAACAAGGGAACAAAUUCGAGAAAGUUCAGUUACUGGUGUGGAUACAGGAGGGAUCUGGCUGGGGGCAGGCCAACACAUAUUGUCCAUAGACUGAACAUUAUGGUACUCAUUAGCACUGUGAGGCUUGUUCAUAUAAGAUGCUACCAAAAAAGAGAAAAGAGUCUAUCUUUAUUAAUAAAAUACUAUCUCAAAUUAUGCACUUAUUGUAGGGUUUUAUAGAAGAGCAAGCAGGAAACUGCUAAAAAGUGAAGUGAAUUGCUCAAGGCCACCCAUUAUUAAAUAACAGAAUCAGGAUUUCAGGUGGCUCUAGUUCCAAAUCCUGGACUCUAGCAGUACAACCUGCCAUCCAAGUGACUGUCAGCUUACCUUCAGUGGUCCUCUGGCCACGCACCUUAUAAAUUUGGUCGAAAACCUUGAAAAAUUCAGUUAGACGCUAUAGAGCCACCAACUGCAUUAAAAAGAUGAGUCUUCCAUGAAGCACAUAUAAACAACUAUUUAGUACUUCCUAAAAUUAUUGUGACUUCAGUAAAGGUUUUUGGAUGAGUAUAAUUGAUUAAUGAUAAAUUAUUAAGAUAAAGAUUUUAAAAUAUAAGUACCUAACUGCCAAAAAUUAAAACCUUGAGCAGCUAAUGACUACAUGGUACUGCUACAGGUAAAAUUUGAACAAACAAAUGGCUUUCUUGUUUUGCAGAAGUAAGAAGAGAAAAAUAAAAGAAUGAAUAAACAAAUGGCUUUCUUGAGCUGAAAUAUAAUUCAUCCUUAAGUUUUGAAGUUUUGGCUUCCACCUCAAUUCUUGCAAUUCCACCUUACAUUCUGAGACACAUGGAUGAAUAUUUUUGUGGCUCUGAAAUAAUAUUUCUUAAAAGUUUUUUUUGAAAUUGUCUUCUAAGUGUUUUUAUAUGGAAGAUGAUUUUAAAAUUCUGAGUGUUCACAUUCUUUAUGAUUAACAAACUCACUAAUAGAACAAAAGCAUACCUCAUUGAAGAAUUAAUCCAAACUUCUUACUAAUAUAGAUUAAAAAAGCAGUUAAGUGGCUUGCUCAAAGUCACAGAGCCAGUUAGUUCUAUAACAGGGGCUGGAUUCUGAGCUAGUGACCCUAAGACUCUAAAGCCUAUGAGUUUUUUUUUUUUUUUUUCCUAUACUGAAAUAAAGUAAAACUUACUUGUUUUUGACAAUGGGACCAUCUUUAUCUAAUUU
rnacentral:lncRNA from 10 species